AGCAGCCGCGGUAAUUCCAGCUCCAAUAGCGUAUAUUAAAGUUGUUGCAGUUAAAAAGCUCGUAGUUGAAUUUCGGGGUCAGUGAGUUGGUCGUGCCACUGGUAUGCACUGGCUUUACUGAUUCCUCCUUCUUGAAGAACUGUAAUGCUAUUAAUUUAGUGUUGCAGGGAAACAGGACUGUUAUUUUGAAAAAUUAGAGUGUUUAAAGCAGGCUAACGCUUGAAUACAUUAGCAUGGAAUAAUGAAAUAGGACGUUUGAUCCUAUUUUGUUGGUUUCUAGGAUUGACGUAAUGAUUAAUAGGGAUAGUUGGGGGCAUUAGUAUUCAAUUGUCAGAGGUGAAAUUCUUGGAUUUAUUGAAGACUGACUACUGCGAAAGCAUUUGCCAAGGAUGUUUUCAUUAAUCAAGAACGAAAGUUAGGGGAUCGAAGACGAUCAGAUACCGUCGUAGUCUUAACCAUAAACUAUGCCGACUAGGGAUCGGAUGAUGUUAAUUUUUAAUGACUCAUUCGCGUCCG
rnacentral:rRNA from 1 species